GUCUGCUCAGCAUCCUGAUCCAAACAAGCCACUUUAAAAAGUGCAGUUAUGAAACAAUUCGAACACUGACUGGACUACUGUUUAUAUUUUUAGAUGUGAUACUGUGGUUAUGUUUCUCUAAAAGUCCUUGUCUGUUAGAGAUACACACUGAAGUGUUUACAGAGAGAAUGAUACAAUCGCUGUCUGGAAUCCGCUUCAAUACCAUCCAUUGUUGGAGGGUGGGUAGUGGGGUUAGGGGGUUUUGAGGAAACAAGAUUGGCCCGGUCUAUCAGCAUUGAUGCUGGGUGAGAUAGGUAAAUGGGGGUUCAUUAUACACUUUACUUUUGAAAAUGAAGUUUUUCGUAAUAAAAAGUUGAAAGAAAGAAGGAAGGGAGAUGGGAAGGCAGGGAAAGGAGAAAGGGAAGGAGAGAAGGAAAAGAUUCUGCUCAAAUGUCCCUUUGGAAACCUUCCUUGACCCCCGCGUUGGUGUGGGGCCGGGGGAAUGGGGAGGCUGUUUUCUGCUCAGCCAGAGCAACAAGGCCCAUGAGGAGACAGGAGGGAUGUCUGGGGAGCAGUCCCAAGCCACAGAGUCCUUCUGGGGACCAGCCACACCAUGAAGAGAGAGCAGAACAGGGAGCAUAGCACAGACCUAUGACAUAGCACUGUGCCAUGACAUCAGCUGGCAAAGGCCCAUGGGACCAGGAGGGAGGCAUUAGAAGGGCGAACACUAGCAGCUGUUGAGUAGGAAGAAAUGUGAGCCGACUUCUCUACCUAAGGAAGCGGUGGCAAGGCCGUGGAGGUUCGGGAUGGGGACGGGUUCCAGGAUUAGAGUGCUUUUUUUUUUCUUUCUUUCUUUUGAAGGAGGAGAGGCUAUGGGAGCCUCAGGUACCGAGCAUCUGGUGUCUGGAGAGAUGCAGCUACUCAAGGCAGUUUCUGAUCUGGAACCAGGAAGUCUCUGUUUCCCCACCAGCCAGCAAACGUUCUGGACUUGGUGCUGGGCCUGCCACCACCAAAGGUGGAGAUGCCCCACAUACCUGCGUCAGGCAUGACAGGUCACCCCUGAGUCCUUGGGUCUCCCCAAGGCUUCUCCAGGGCUUCCCAACAGGGCUGAGAUUCAAGAAAACGCUCAAGGUCCACCCCACUGCUCCGACCCUCUCACCAGAAGAAAAGGGCUGUGUCCCAAGGGCAGCCUGCUUGGGAAAAGAAUAUGUGGGGUGACUUGUCCAGAUCUGCCCAGGGAGGCUGGGAAUGGAGAGAGAAAGGAAUCUGCCCACCAGUUGGGGGAAAAGUGGAUUUCGCAACAACCUUGAUGAUAUUAAAUGCUUGGGGGGCCUGGGAAGACCAAAUGUUUAAUAUUUGGAGAAGAGGCUGUCUAAACAGAGUAAUUAGGAGGCUCCUUUGUAGUGAUAUGAAAGAGAUGAAUUGGGUAUAUUUGACAUCAAAGACAGGAGAUCCAGUGGGGAAUGAGACCCACGGCCGGGCGUGGGCAGCGCUGGAGGACAGGCUCUCCCAGUGUGCUGCGGGGGAGGGCAGCCCCUGCAGUGUGCGUGUUGAGUGCUGGGAAACCCCCAAGUAACACUUCCCCCCUCAUUUAACACACUUCCUAAAACCUCUCCUCCCCAAAAGCCACUUUGCAAAAGCAGCGAUUACCACCAACCACGAGAAACACAGGAGCCUGCCUUCCACUGUUUACCACUGGGCAGGAAGUCGUUUAUGGACCAGUCUCUUGCCCAGGCUAAACUCAGAAGUGGACACUGAGGGCCGGUUGUGGGUGCCACCAGGCAAGCUAGGGCAUCGGAGUUCAGCAGAGCUGGGUGGGAAUUCUGCUUCUCCCUCCACUACCUGGGUAACCCUGGGCAAGUCACUUAGCCUCUCCGAGCAUAAACUGGUUUGCUUGUAAUAUGCAAAUAAUAAGGGGUGGGGGAAAUUUUUUUUUUUUUUUUUGAGACAGAGUCUCGCUCUGUCACCCAGGCUGGAGUGCAGUGGCGUGAUCUCGGCUCAUUGCAACCUCCGCCUCCUGGGUUCAAGCAAUUCUCCUGCCUCAGCCUCCUGAGUAGCUGGGAUUACAGGCGCCCGCCACCACUCCCAGCUAAUUUUUGUAUUUUUAGUAGGGACGAGGUUUCACCAUGUUGGUCAGGCUGGUCUCAAACUCCUGACCUCGUGAUCUGCCCUCCUUGGCCUUCCAAAGUGCUGGGAUUACAGGCGUGAUGGAGAUGAUACUCCCUAAAUCACAAGGGUGUGGUGUGAAGAUGAAAUGGCUGCACGUGACAGAGGAGUUGGAGAACAGGAAGCAAGUGGAUUACUUGGAUGAACUGUGAUGGGCCCAAGAAGAACUAAGCCAAUCACUCCAGGGGGCGUUUUCCCAGGAUCCAGGCAGAGAGCUGAUUCCAGCAUCCACGUUGUAUCCCCCUCCCGCUGUGGCCGGGGUCUCCAAGAGCCGGGCACCCACUGCAGAGCUUCCAAGCCCAGGCCCAUUUGAACACAGGAGGACUUUUGAGGUUCAUUUAACCCCAAAAUCAGUGAUUCUACAUCUCAAGCUCAUAUUUUGAAGUGUUUACGGGUUGCCUGGGGCAGGGCGGUGGUGAGUGUGUUGAGUCGGCCCUAUACCCUGUUCCACAAUGCCUGGUGUCCUUGGCACGUAGCUUGCAGGGCUGCUUCCAUGGAUGGCUGCCUCAUCCCCCACCCCUCCUUCAUGGCACCCUCUUUUCUCCAACUCCUUUUCCUCUGCUGAGUCCUACCUUUUCUUGCCAGACCAGGGAUUUGCCAAUUAUUCUGGAUGGGCACAGGGAAGGGGCCCUCAGAUCCUGCAGAGGGAGCAUCUGAAAGACAAUGAGACCCUGUACACAACCAAGCUGAGCCUCCUGUAAGCACAUCCUCUGGGUGUCACUAUGCGAAAAGACUCUUUGUCUGUUUACAUUGCACAACGAAUUGUCCCUCUGAUUGUCCUAGCGUUGGUGCAUGCAUGGAUCCAGGAAGAGCAGGUAUUUGGACCCAACGAGACAGGUUCAUCUUGGCAGUUUGUCUCCUGUGGUUGCUUUGUGCCUGCCCCGUAUCUAUCCACCCAACUUCUGGCAGCAAUCCCUCCAGGACCCACCUCUGUCUUCAUGGUUUGUGUGUUCUGAUCCUGCUCCUUGGCCCCAGAAUACACCCUCCACAUCUAAGCUAUGCAGUGCCUCAUCCCCACAGCUGCAGCGAUUGGUUUAGGAAUGGGAAAAUAAUCCAAUCAAAGUAAGAUUGUCUAAUAUCUGAUCCCGCUUACCCCGGAGCCAGAAGUCCCACCUUUCCAGGCUCCUCCAUGUUCCUUUCUGGAGCAAUGAGGAGGAAGGUUCAUUCCCUUCUCAGGGAACUUGCUGCGGUGUCCCAGUCCUGACUGUCCCCUCUCUACCCCUGCCUGUGGCUCUCCCGUCUCCUGGCAUUCUAACCUGCCACUGAAUUCUUCCCACGCCAAACGCAGGUUAGGAACCUAAGCUCGGAUGAAAUGCUGGCUUAGACCUCAUUGCUACUGAGAAGCAGAAACCACACUUUUUAGUUGGUAGAGGUGGAUGUGGAUUGGGGCCAUAAAGUUUCCUCAAUCAUUGAAUAAGGAUUUCAUUAUUUGGACUAACUAAAUACAUUAGAUUAUUUAUACUAACUAAAUAAAUUAGAUUUAUUUUUCGAAGUUUAAAAUCAUUUUCAAUAGUGACGAAAAAGGCUGUAGAUGAGAUGGGAGAAUCUUUCGACGCCAAAUUCUUCCCAUCUCCUGCCUAGUAUGUAUCACUACACCUUGCCCAGAGAGACUGUAGGGGUGCUCAGCAAAAACCAUGGCUGGUUGAUUCCCUGGAAAAAGGGGUGCUGUCCCAGGGAGCUCUGUGCCCUUCCUGCCAACACUGGGGUCUAGAGGAGGCAAGUUCCCCUCUGAAGGUGAGUAUGAUUCACUCAUUAAAACUAAGAAAUUUACAUUGGUAUGUUACUGUUAACUAACCUACAGACUUUUUUUAGAUUUCACCGUUCUUUACACUCUCGUCCUUUCCAAUUUCCGGGAUCCAAUGCAGGAUACCAGGUUGCAUUUUUGGAUGUGUCCAGUCUGUGAUCAUUUCUCAAUCUUUCCUCAUUUUCUCAUGACUUUUGACAUUUAUUUAUUUAUUUAUUGUGUGAGACUGAGUCUCACUCUGUUGCCUAGGCUGGAGUGCAGUGGCCCCAUCCUGGCUCACUACAAUCUCCACCUCCCGGGUUCAAAUGAUUCUCCUGCCUCAGCCUCCCAAGCAGCUGGGAUUACAGGCGCACACCACCACGCCUGGCUAAUUUGUAUUUUUAGUAGAGAUGGGGUUUCACCAUGUUAGCCAGGCUGGUCUCAAACUCCUGACUUCAGGUGAUCUGCCUGCCUCGGCCUCCCAAAGUGCUAGGAUUACAGGCGCAGGCCACCACGCCCAGCCUGACUUCUGACAUUAGAGUACAGGGAGGGAUUCUGUAGAAUGUCCCUCAAUUUGGGUGUGUCUGGUGUUUUGCCAUGAGACUGGGGUUAUGCUUCUGGGUGCCACACAGAGGUGAAAUGUCCUUCUCAUCACAUUAUUCGAGAGGUACAUGGUACCAAUGGGACUUAUCGCUGCUGAUGUUAACCUUGAUCUCUUGGUUCAGGUGGUGCCUGCCAGCUGUCUCCACUGUGGAGUUACUAUUUUUCCUUUUCCCCAUUUUAUUCAUCAGAAGCCAGUCACUAAGCGAGGUCAAACUCCAGGACAGGGGAAUUAAGUGCCACCUUCUGGAGAGGGAGCAUUCACAUUUAUUACUUGGGAUCCUUCUGUAAGGAAGAGCUGUUUCUCCUCUAAAAAACUCUUUAAUCCUUUUAAGCCUCAAUUUCUUAAUUGUGAAAUGGGGCUAAUACCUGUAUCCAACCAAGGGAGUAGUUAGAAGGUAACAUGAUAGGUGGAAAGCACUUAACAUAGGCAAAAUGUUAUUAUCAGGAAUGAUCGAGAGACCCAUCCAACUAUCUGAAGGAGUCACUUAACUCUACUGUACUGCAGCGCUGUAAAGUCUGCAUCUUUCACUGGGGGUAAAGGCCCCCAGUCCCUGAGACGGGCCAGUUUGGAGACAGGCUGGUUUUUUCUCUGUUCUCCUGAGAGCCCUUCAGAUGAGAAGGGAGGUCUGGAGACAGAAUGCCAAAAGCCCAUUAAAGGCACGGCCUUGCAUUUCAGAGAGGGAGCAGGUCUAGAGAAGAACCAGAGGAGCUCAGCUGAGAUAUGGUGUAUGGAUUGGAUUUUGGUAGAAGAUGGGAAGAACCAAACACCUGAGAAACCACUUUGAAGAUCGGGGUCAGAGUAAGGCCUAACACAUAGUUGGCUCCCAGUAAUUAUUGGUUGAUUGAACAGCUCAAAGAGCAACUCGACCAAGAACACUGGACUGGGAGUCCAGUUACUUGGAUCUUGCAUUCCUGAUUUAUUUUUAUUUUAUAUGUAUUUUUUCUAUUUUUUUGAGACGAAGUCUCACUCACUCUGUCGCCCAGGCUGGACUACAAUGGCACGAUCUCGGCUCACUGCAAACUCUGCCUCCCAGGUUCAAGCGAUUCUCCUGCCUCAGCCUCUCGAGUAGCUAGGAUUACAGGCAUGCACCACCACGCUGGCUAAUUUUUGUAUUUUUAGUAGAGACGGGGUUUUGCCAUGUUGGCCAUGCUGGUGUCCACCUCCUGACCUCAGUUGAUCUUCCUGCCUCAGCCUUCCAAAAUGUUGGGAUUACAGGCGUGAGCCACCGUGCCUGGCCGUGAUUUAUUUUUUUUGUGUAUGUUUGUUUUUGUCAACUUGCUGUGUGACCUUAAGCAAGUUACUUAACUUCUCUGGGCUUCACUUUCCAUGGAUGAACAUUGUAAAGAGGCUGGAGAGAGAUGAGGACUAGGUACAGGCUUUAGAGGAGAGCCACCGCCCCGGACUUCUCCCUCUGUCACCCCGCUUUCCAUGACCCUCCUUGCCUGACUUUGUGACUCCUUGCCUCGCUAUCAAAACAAGUGCUGCAAUCUCAGUGCUUUCCAAGAGCCCUGCAUUGUUAGAAACUUCCCAGCACGCAGCAAAGGCUGCUGCAAUACUCGCUCUGCCUGCCUUUGCCCUGCGCUUCCUACUUACCCUCCUUUUGUUUCUCCCAAACAUCUGUCCCUGACUAUGCUCAUCUCAUGUUUGUCCUCAGCUGCUGAAAGGGCCACGUUUGUUUUCAUUACAAAUAAGACCACCGAGUGGGCUCCUGGCGUGGGGGCGGGACCAGCCGCGCGCAGUCUUCAGAGGCAGCCCCCCAGGCUGUCUCUGGAGGGUGUGUCUCUGCUUCCCUUUCCCCGUGUUUAUUUUCAGACGAAGCCAAGUGGCCCGGGGGGACCCUCCGGACUCCCAGCCUUCAGAGAGGAGGGCAGCUCGGGCUUUCGCCGCAGUGCUUCCUGCCCGUCACGUGUGUGCUCCUAGCCGGGGUCGGGGGAGCUGGUAUCUUGGCCCUUCUGGGAGGACGCGCACAGCCCGAGGAGGCAGAGCCCCAGACGGGAAUGGGCUUUUCAGAGGUGGGGUGCGGGCGAGGGGACGAUGCAUUAUUUUUAAUAUUUGAUUUAUUUUUCCAACUGGACUUCUUCCCGGGGCUCUUUCUGGGCCCAGCUGCCUUUGUGAUCCCGCGCCCCGGUCCUCGGCCUCUCACCUCCAGCGCCGGGGCGCCCCCUGCUGUCGGAAGCGGCUGUGACCGGGCAGAGGUGCUAUCUGGGACUCUGGGUUCUCAGCCCGGGGACAGCGAACCGAGGGGCAGAUGAUCCAUCAGAAAAGAGCCGGCACUGCCCAGCCCCGCGCCCCUGCCCCUGCCUUUUUCCGGGAGCGCGCCGCGCCGCACCCGCUACGGCCGCUUGACCCCAUCUUUGAGCCCGGCCCCAAGCUCUGGGACCGUCGUGCCCCUCAUCAAGGAAGAGCCAAGGACCCCAAGGAGAAGAGAAAGGAGUUCAUGAAGGCAGAAAUGCCUGGGGCCCACGAACAUCCCAGUGUGGCCCUGGACGGGACAUCAUGCUGGGCAACACAGCUAAAAUGCGGGUGAAGACCAGAUUUCUUGCACAUGGCGGUGACGGGAUGCUCCCUAGAGAGCUUCAAGUGGAUUCUUUGCUUUUUAUUUUCUCUCUUAAUAAAAAUGUAUGAUGUUUACAUUGUCAGAGAACAAACAGAACU
rnacentral:lncRNA from 1 species